UACGUAGGGCGCAAGCGUUGUCCGGAAUUAUUGGGCGUAAAGAGCUCGUAGGCGGCUUGUCACGUCGGGUGUGAAAGCCCGGGGCUUAACCCCGGGUCUGCAUUCGAUACGGGCUAGCUAGAGUGUGGUAGGGGAGAUCGGAAUUCCUGGUGUAGCGGUGAAAUGCGCAGAUAUCAGGAGGAACACCGGUGGCGAAGGCGGAUCUCUGGGCCAUUACUGACGCUGAGGCGCGAAAGCGUGGGGAGCAAACGGG
rnacentral:rRNA from 1 species